UCUGUCCUUCUCUCUUGACUGUCUUUCUCUCGCUAUUUCUCUGCCUGCGUUUGCUGUGAGGCAUUUGUUAACUUCAUUCAACAUUCGCGUAUCACAGUUAACCGUUAACAGUUGCCAAUUUCAAUUCGCGUUCAUUUAACGCGCUCUCGUUCGCGUCAUUCGUAAUAACGGGUUAUAAAUGUGUGUGUGUGUGUGUGUGUGUGUGUGUGUGUGUGUGUGUGUGUGUGUGUGUGUGUGUGACAUAAAUUUGGUACACACUCGAGUUAAUUGAUUAGUUGGUCUGUCGUCAGCAGCCCGAGAGGAAGGCGGGGUUCGCCUUUCGGAGCUAUUAUAUCAGCUCUAUCUACAGCAAUUGCACUCGCCAAGCACUUUGAAACGCCCACAAUCUCGAAACUAGUGCAAAAUAUAAAAGUUAAAUAAAUCAGCUUAUCUUUAUGGGGCACUAUUAACAUGGAACACCUCUUUCAUCAUAUAACUUCUCAAAGAUAGCCAGAGCUAAG